rnacentral:rRNA from 1 species
UACGGAGGAGGCAAGCGUUAUCCGGAAUUAUUGGGCGUAAAGCGUCCGCAGGUGGCACCUCAAGUCUGCUGUCAAAGACCGGGGCUUAACCUCAGAAAGGCAGUGGAAACUGAAGUGCUAGAGUGCAGUAGGGGUAGAGGGAAUUCCCGGUGUAGCGGUGAAAUGCGUAGAGAUCGGGAAGAACAUCGGUGGCGAAAGCGCUCUGCUGGACUGCAACUGACACUCAGGGACGAAAGCUAGGGGAGCGAAUGGG